rnacentral:lncRNA from 1 species
CAUUCUUUGGGACAAGGACAGCUUUGGCAGUGAGUCUAGAUGCCAAACCCACCAGCAGGCAAGGGGAUCUAUCUUGGGGUGCUUAGCAUUGUACAGCUCAAAGUGUGUGGCAACUCACUGUGUAUGCAAGCUUGAAAACAAUCAGCAAUCUUCUUCAUUCAAUUAAACACUAACCAGCCUAGAUGCCAGAGAGAAGGGCAGGGUGGCAUCUUCUCUGAGAGCAUCUGCCAGUCCUUCCACACAGCAUGAGACUGGGUGUAAGAGACACUGCACUACUCUAACAAAAGAAUCCGGACGGUGGGAAAUCUGUGGAAUCUCUUCCUACACUGAAGAUGUUCUAAGAGAUGCUGGAAUUGAAGCCAAGAUCCAGCAAUGAAAAUGUAAACAUGGAGAGUGGCAACUUGAAGCCAUGGCUGAUACUUCUACCCAGAACCAAGCCGAUGUGCCUGCAAGAUUUGGGAAAUGAAACCCCUCAAAGAGGGGGGUUUGUUCAGACUGUACAUGAAAUAAGAGCAGAAAGAGGCAGCACAUGUCACUGGAUUCACAGCCCCUUGUCACUUGCCGAUGACAGGCCGCUGUCCUCUGGGAGCUUCCCCUGCCUGCUGGCUGGUGCUGGGCUCUGCUUGGCAGACUGGUGA